rfam:Canis lupus familiaris chromosome 2, whole genome shotgun sequence.
UGUGCUGGGAACUGUAUAUUCAUUACUUCAUUUUAAAGUGGAUUAAAAAGUGAGGCAUACAGUUUUUUUCUUCCUAGUUAGAUGCUUGAGAGCUCAAAGCCUUGCAGAGACCCCAUCACAGAAGAAUUGUCUUGGAGGAAGAGG